CUACGGGUCGCACCAGUGAGGAAUAUUGCACAAUGGGGGGAACCCUGAUGCAGCAACGCCGCGUGGAGGAUGACGCAUUUCGGUGUGUAAACUCCUUUUAUAUGUCAAGAAAAUGACGGUAGCAUAUGAAUAAGCGCCGGCUAACUCCGUGCCAGCAGCCGCGGUAAUAGGGAGGGCGCAAGCGUUACUCGGAAUCACUGGGCGUAAAGGACGCGUAGGCGGGUUGAAAAGUCAGGUGUGAAAGCCUACAGCUUAACUGUAGAACUGCACUUGAAACUCUCAACCUAGAGUAUGGGAGGGGCAGAUGGAAUUAGUGGUGUAGGGGUAAAAUCCGUAGAUAUCACUAGGAAUACCUAAAGCGAAGGCGAUCUGCUGGAACAUUACUGACGCUAAGGCGUGAAAGCGUGGGGAGCAAACAGGAUUAGAUACCCCUGUAGUC
rnacentral:rRNA from 1 species